GCUCACCCUUCUUGAGAUGCUGGAUUGCGUUUUUCACAACUGAUCAGGGAUGAAGCUAGUACAAGUUUUCCAUUGCCCCUUUCCUUUAAACUUCUAAGCCAUUUUUGGUCCGUCCAUCCAUCCAUCUAGGCUGAAGAGAAAGAUGAGAAUUCAUUUUCCAACGCAUAUUUUUGCCACUUAAAAAGGUAAAAAGUUGGAAAGUGUCUGUCUCUCCUUCAGCCUUCUGUUUCAUUUUGAGUUUUCAUUAGGUUGUUCAAGUGGAUUUUGCAGAUAUUAAAACACGGGAAAGCCACAACUGGGGGGAAAAAAAUAAAAGGCAAGGUUCUGUUUCAUUUUAUCAUUUUUCUCUUGAUUAUCCGCCAUUUCCCAUCUCUUUAGGCAAACCUUUUCCAUAGUUCAGGUAAUCGGAGAGAUGUUGUGGUACAGUAGAAAAAAGACACGCAUCUCCAUCCAUAGCUAGCUAGCUUCAUCCUCAGCCUGUAACACUACUAAGUACCCAAGGUUAAUUCCCCACUCCCUUUUAAAAAAAGGAUAACCCAAACCAGGAUAAAUCUCUGAAGCAAAUGCCAUUUAAAAAAAAAAAAAGUUUUCCUAUCAGUUACUCCAUUAUCUUCCCUCUCGUGUCUUCUCUUUAGUUUGUGCCAAAUUUGCACCUGCUCUUGAAAUAAACUUUUUCAGUGGUUUGGUGCCUUAAAGCGUGGCUGAGACCAAGAGGCAUUCUCAAAAGAAAAGUCCUUGAGAGGUUGAAGCUGGGAAUAUUCUCAGUUUUCCCCUUUUUGAGGGGGAAAAAUGCACAAAACUUUUUGUAGCUCAGUGGAAAUAUAUCUUGCCUGUUCAAACUAUGUGCCGUUCUGUGUCCGUUAACUUCUCGUUUUCCUCCAUCUGUUAACUAUGGAGAUUUGUGAUUAGACACUAGUCAACUCUUCUGGCUAGCUAAGAAAUUUAUAAAAAGUUUGAUUAAACUUGGUUUUCAGUUCACCACUCAACUUGGGGUAGGGGGGGGAGGAAUAGGGUCUUCUAAGAGCGGGGCAAACUUUGCAUUGGAGUUUGGGUACGAUUUGGCAGCAUUUCAUGCUUAGAAGUCAGGUUGAAGAUACAGCCGCCUCUCCUUUGUAGUUUAACGAUAAGUCCAGAAACU